CACACAGCAGCGCUCUUUGCAGUCUGGAUGCAUCCAGGAUUUAUGGAGAGAGCGGCGCACAGCAUGCUCGAAGACAGUCGGUGAAUAGAGAGCGGCUUUGGGGUGUAGAAGAUACACAAAGAUGUUCACACGUGUGAUGUGGCGGUGCUUUGAUUGGGAGAGAAAAUCAAUAAGGUAAAUAUUAAAAAGUGCUGAGUAGAAUUAUUCAGUCCUGAAUCAACCACACACUUGAGAGGUCAGACUUUAAGUGUCGUUAUUAGAGUAGUUAAAUGUCCUUUGUCUUUUUGUACACCGACGGCAAAAGAAGCCAAAGCUUCACGUCUUAACACUUGCAUUCUCCCCACUGACCAGCAGGGGGCGACUCCUCUGGUCCCAUACACGUCUAUGACAAAAUGACUCUACUUCUCUCUUGAUUUAUUCCCUCAGUAAACAUUGUAAACAUGAGUUUAUGGUCUCGAUCUCUAGUUUCUAGUGUUCUUCAACACAGCGUGAUGUUCAUUUUUUUAAAUGAUGGUCCAUUUAGAGUCAAACAGGCCAUAAAGCAGAGGACGCUUUUGGGCGGUUUUCUUUUCUGAAUCAAAAAAAGUAGUAAACUUGCACUUUUCUGUUUUUUUUGUUCUUUAUUUCAAAAUGUAAGAAAUGUGCCUCAAAGCGUUUCACACUGUCACCGCAAACCGGGAGAAACUUGUUGAGCUCGUAAUGCAAUUGAGAUUGCAGCUCUAUGGAAAUAUGAGUCUUUAGGACAAGGCGUUACAGCUAUCGCCCGCGGCAACGCAGUCGUGCUACCGCCUUGAAUUGCAUGUAAACAACAUUACAUAUUCAAACCACUUUCCCUCAUCAUACAUCACAAUCUCAGGCCUCAGGAAUAUGAAAUCCAAUGAGCGUUGAUUUGAACGUGAUAAGCGGACACACAUAGAUCCAACAAGCAGCGUGCGAUGCGUACGAUGCAGCGGAGGAGUCGGCACACGGUCUCCGUAAUGUAACACACAUCGCGCCCGGAUUCCUGUUGUGCUUUAUCAGUACGACUCGGACCCCCAAGCCAUUGCUUUUCCCCCGAUCCAUCCCUGAGUGGCGUGAUGAGUCAAUUACAGUCGACAAUAAAGAGGCGAGACAAACAAACCGGGUUCUUGCCCAGAGACAGAGAUUCCGACCUCUAACUGGAUAACUGGACAAUGACGCCAAAGGCCUGCUGGCAUUGUGUGUUCGUCUGUUAGAUAAAAGAGCCCAGUAAAUUAAACAAAGCAAUUUUCUCUGCUUUGCUCUUA
ensembl:lncRNA